GUUUUAAUAAUUUAAAUAAAAAUAUUGGUCUUGUAAACCAAAAUUAAGGUAUCUUUUAAAACU
rnacentral:tRNA from 1 species